rnacentral:lncRNA from 1 species
CUCAAACUGUGGAAAAGAGUUGCAGUGCGACGUGUAGAGCUGUUUUCUCAUGUUAGUCUUUAUUUACCUACAGAAGAUCUGAAAUCUGCCUGCAGUUUAAAGCUUUUUCUUGUAAAAUAACAUGUAUUUUUAAGUUUAUUUUCUUUUACCUGCAUACCUUGAUCUGAGAAGCUGUUGUUUUUUUUUUCUUCUCUGCAUUUCUCUCAAAGUAGACAUGUUAUUGGAAAUGUCUUGGAAAAGCAGAGAUUCUUAUUAGGGAUUGAGAUGUUUUUGAUGAAGAGGAGUGGGAGAAGCUAAAAAGAUGACUGCGAGGGAAAAGAGAGCACGCAGAGGAGACCACAGCAAAAGUCGAGUGGAUCUUUAAAAGAUGGAGGAGACGGGAGACGAGCCUGUACGGGAUAGGACGAGUGGAGGUUAGGGAGGGUGGAGGGACACAGAAUGGCGUGAGGACCGAGGCCGGUGGUUGGUUUGAUCUGAGCCACGUGUGCGUCCAGCAACGUCUCGUCGCCGCUUCAUGGAUGUCGACGAGAUGCUGGCUUCCCGAGCUCGACCGUUCCUUUCUACCUCAAACCAGGUUUGGGACAUGCAGCGACUGAUGAAUGAAACCCCUCCCUCUGCAGUGACCUUUAGGCUCCACAGCCCGUGUCACGGUGUCGAAGAAUAAAGUCAGCAGAUGCUCAGACUUGGAUGAUUUGGGUAGUUUCCCAGGUUUUCAACCUGUUGAGCAGAACCAUGCUGGAACUUUCAGAUUCUCCUUGAAGAACUUUAAAAAGUGCACGAUUUUGGUGGCCAUGUUGUUCCUGUGUCACGUGCUAGGUUUGAAAUGGCGGCUGAAGCACAGAAUCGUCUCCUACCUCCACAACACUGGGCAGCCAUGAAUUCCGCUGUGCUACGCUGUAUAUGCUCAGCCAUGAGUUUAACUGUAAGCUGAUAGUAUGUGAUCAUCAAACAUCCUGCUGCUUCACAUCUUCAAUAAAACCAUCUCGAGAAUAUCCGUCCACUGCAGGGAAAAUGGCUGCACAGAGUUCCCAGAUUUGGACAGAAGGCGACGAGCUCCAGCCGGCAGAUUUACCAACGUCAUCACUAGCAGCGCUCCAUCUCAGGGAUGAAGCUGUUGUCAUGAAUCAGAACACCAACCACAUGAGGGAUGAUUCCCAGCACCAUCCUGUAUUCCCUGAGAUGACAUCAUCUCUGCUCAACCAAUCACAAGUGCAGGCGGACGGGACUCGUCCUGUGGCUCAGGCAUCAGAUCAAGAGUUCCUGGAGACUGAGAUGGGUCAGAGCGACGGUGAAGUCCACUCUCAGUCCCGGCUGGAUCUUCCACCUCAUUCUGACGGGGUUUCUGCACUAAAAACCAACAUCACCAUGGAAGCAGGUACUCUCUAACUAACCCUUCUGCAUUAUUUAUUAGCCUACUUACUUUCUGGGGCAUGUCAUUUUUGCUAAAAUGCAUAAGUAAAGUAAUUUUG